rnacentral:rRNA from 1 species
UGUGUUUCGACACACUAUCAUUAACUGAAUCCAUAGGUUAAUGAGGCGAACCGGGGGAACUGAAACAUCUAAGUACCCCGAGGAAAAGAAAUCAACCGAGAUUCCCCCAGUAGCGGCGAGCGAACGGGGAGCAGCCCAGAGCCUGAAUCAGUAUGUGUGUUAGUGGAAGCGUCUGGAAAGGCGCGCGAUACAGGGUGACAGCCCCGUACACAAAAAUGCACAUGCUGUGAGCUCGAUGAGUAGGGCGGGACACGUGGUAUCCUGUCUGAAUAUGGGGGGACCAUCCUCCAAGGCUAAAUACUCCUGACUGACCGAUAGUGAACCAGUACCGUGAGGGAAAGGCGAAAAGAACCCCGGCGAGGGGAGUGAAAAAGAACCUGAAACCGUGUACGUACAAGCAGUGGGAGCACGCUUAGGCGUGUGACUGCGUACCUUUUGUAUAAUGGGUCAGCGACUUAUAUUCUGUAGCAAGGUUAACCGAAUAGGGGAGCCGAAGGGAAACCGAGUCUUAACUGGGCGUUAAGUUGCAGGGUAUAGACCCGAAACCCGGUGAUCUAGCCAUGGGCAGGUUGAAGGUUGGGUAACACUAACUGGAGGACCGAACCGACUAAUGUUGAAAAAUUAGCGGAUGACUUGUGGCUGGGGGUGAAAGGCCAAUCAAACCGGGAGAUAGCUGGUUCUCCCCGAAAGCUAUUUAGGUAGCGCCUCGUGAAUUCAUCUCCGGGGGUAGAGCACUGUUUCGGCAAGGGGGUCAUCCCGACUUACCAACCCGAUGCAAACUGCGAAUACCGGAGAAUGUUAUCACGGGAGACACACGGCGGGUGCUAACGUCCGUCGUGAAGAGGGAAACAACCCAGACCGCCAGCUAAGGUCCCAAAGUCAUGGUUAAGUGGGAAACGAUGUGGGAAGGCCCAGACAGCCAGGAUGUUGGCUUAGAAGCAGCCAUCAUUUAAAGAAAGCGUAAUAGCUCACUGGUCGAGUCGGCCUGCGCGGAAGAUGUAACGGGGCUAAACCAUGCAC